rnacentral:tRNA from 1 species
GCGCCCAUAGCUCAAUAGGAUAGAGCGUCAGGUUGCGGACCUGAAGGCUGGAGGUUCGAUUCCUCUUGGGCGCA